AGUAUAGAGACAAGACACAGGUUCAUUCAUCUCUCUUGGAACAAAAUGAAUGUGUUACCAUUCAUUUUGAAAAGGGACGAUGGGGUAAUGUAACCAUCUGUUACUUAAUGUCUAUGUGACUCCGUCACAAAAUUCAAACAUCCCUGUACAAUUCAGAAAACCCUACAACAGUCGCCCUCUAUCAGCACAACUGACAUCCCUGUCCAGGAGUUCACCACUCAUUCACGGCACUCUCAGAGAUUCUCCAGAGGCGCCGUGUAUUUUAAAGAGCAAAGCGGGGAAGUGUGGCCACCCAGAAAAGCAACACACUCUUAAAAUGUUUUGUAGAUAAUAGUUGUUUGUUAGUGUGUUGGUUGGACAAGAUAGUGUACUUAGCGCUUUGUUAGCGAUCCGUUUCCUGUCCUGUCCUUUCUGUUCGUGACCGCCUGAGGGAAAAGAAGUGCGCGACGUGUUAGUUUGUCGAAGAAACAAAAAGUGCGACAAGUACACACGGUGAACAUAAAGUUAAAAUUGUGUAAAAGCCUAAAAACAAGCGUAACAAACAUAAACAUUGUUAAAACACACGGAAACAAACGAGCAAUCGAAAAACAAAGAAAAAGGUCCAAGAGGGCCUUUUUCUUUCUGGUUUGUGCUGGUUCUGUCGAGCCACAAUUCCUUCAUCCCCAGGCAAUCACCAGAUCCGGACAGAAAGGUCCCUGCGUGCCUCGACUCCAUCGAUACAACACCUCGAGUCGGCACCUAACCUUACAUCCAUGGGUCAGCAUCGACACAAACAUCUCGCUGUCCCUAACGCAUGCAAAGUAGUACCGAGCACGAGUGGAAUCGUUCCGAAAACAGCGAUUCACAGUCGUGUCAACGGAUGCGGCUAUUCACAACCAUCGGAAUCCGCCAUUGGUCGUGGCGGAAAGCUAGAUCGACCGAAGCAUCGUAGCAACACAAUAAUACCGCAAGUACCCCAUGUUGUAGCACGUCAUAAAGUUAGGGCUAUCCAUUAGGAAUAAA